rnacentral:rRNA from 1 species
GACGAACGCUGGCGGCGUGCCUAAUACAUGCAAGUAGGACGCAGUUGCGAACGGGUGAGUAACGCGUAGGUAACUACCUAUUAGAGGGGGAUAACUAUUGGAAACGAUCGCUAAUACCGCAUACUAGUAGAUGGACCUGCGUUGUAUUAGCUAGUAGGUAGGGUAAUGGCCUACCUAGGCAACGAUACAUAGCCGACCUGAGAGGGUGAUCGGCAAACCUGGGACUGAGGCACGGCCCAGACUCCGACGCGGUGCAGCAGUAGGGAAUCUUCGGCAAUGGGGGGAACCUUGACCGAGCAACGUGGGGUGAGUGAAGAAGGGUUUAGGAUCGUAAAGCGCUGUUGUUAAGGAAGCGGUACUUAACCAGAAAGGGACGGCUAACUACGUGCCAGCAGCCGCGGUAAUUC